rnacentral:rRNA from 1 species
CGGACGGGUGAGUAACGCGUGAGCAACCUGCCUUUCAGUGGGGGACAACAGUUGGAAACGACUGCUAAUACCGCAUAAUAUCCUUUUGGGGCAUCCCUUUUGGAUCAAAGAUUUAUUGCUGAAAGAUGGGCUCGCGUCUGAUUAGCUAGUUGGUGGGGUAACGGCCCACCAAGGCGACGAUCAGUAGCCGGACUGAGAGGUUGAACGGCCACAUUGGGACUGAGAUACGGCCCAG